rnacentral:rRNA from 1 species
UACGAAGGGGGCUAGCGUUGUUCGGAAUUACUGGGCGUAAAGCGCACGUAGGCGGACUAUUAAGUCAGGGGUGAAAUCCCGGGGGCUCAACCCCGGAACUGCCUUUGAUACUGGUAGUCUUGAGUCCGGAAGAGGUGAGUGGAAUUCCGAGUGUAGAGGUGAAAUUCGUAGAUAUUCGGAGGAACACCAGUGGCGAAGGCGGCUCACUGGUCCGGUACUGACGCUGAGGUGCGAAAGCGUGGGGAGCAAACAGG